rnacentral:rRNA from 1 species
AAGUCGUAACAAGGUCUCCGUUGGUGAACCAGCGGAGGGAUCAUUAGAGGGUCACCUAGGCCUCCUACUGCUCUUAACCAACCCGCGUACUUGCCGGAAGUCAUGUCUCUGCCUCGGCAGCGGCCCCUGGGGCGGCCAGCAGCCCGCCUCUGGCGGGUGCUGCCGGCGGCGCAUAAAACCAUACAACAUUGCGAAAAGCACGCUUACAAACUGUUACAACCUGCAACAACGGAUCCCUUGGCUCCAGCAUCGAUGAAGAACGCAGCGAAAUGCGAUACGUAAUGCGAAUUGCAGAUCUACCGUGAGUCAUCGAAUCUUUGAACGCACAUAGCGCCCGCCAGUACUCUGGCGGGCAUGCCCGUCCGAGCGUCGAUCACACCGCUCGAGCCCCACGGCUCGGUGUUGGGACGCUAGGGGCCCCGGCCCCUAGGUCCCCUAAGAUAUCGCGCGGCCCCAGGCACAGGACCCGAGCACAGUAGACACUCUGUUGAGCUGCUCUGGGACGCUGGCCCGAGGCGCCUGCCGUAAAAGCCCCGACAUAGGCCCCUGCGGGCCGACUGAUGUUGACCUCGGAUCGGGUAGGACGACCCGCUGAACUUAA